UUCGAUUUUUAUCGUGGCAAGCUAGGACUGAUGGUUUGGUAAACCAAGUCUGUUUGUUUGGUUACCUUGGAAACUACUGUAGCUAUCUAGUAAACUUGCUAGCUACUUCAGUGGAUGUUGAACACAUUUCUACCCGCAAACGGCAAAUGUGUUCAAUUAUAGCCACUGUAAAAAAGGGAUAAUCAACUCCGGGCUCUAAGCGUUCUAUGGAAAAUAAUGCAACUCCGUGGAAGUGAAGAUAAACUCCUCAGAGAAGACCCCCAGGGUGCUGGAGGAGAAGCAGACCUCCAUGGCUUGGCAGGCCCCAGCGGGAACCAUCCCCUCAGUAGGGCUGAAGGAGAAACACUGGCCAAACCCUGAGCUGGGAGGCACCAGCUUGAAGGUGGCCUCGAUGAGCCCAUUAUUAGACAGAAGCACCUGAGAAGAGAGUGCAUGGAUGGAUAGUGGAGUCAAAUCAGGUUUAAACAGGGUGAGGGGACAUUUGUAGGGAAAACCAAACUAUGUAAAUGUAGAAUUUGAUUAACCAAGCACUGUUUUCUGUGUGUUCAUAUUCUCACUUUUUUAUUUAGCCUAAUCAGAAUUAAUGUGUAUUGUGACUGCAGUGUAUAUUCCAUGGUCUUAUCUAUACUUGUUUGCUGGCUUUGGAAAGCUAGCAAUACGCUAACAAUGCAUGAUCCAACAGUCUUGUUCUGUGGGAACCAGUAUCACAGUGUUUUACAGCAAGGAUGCCAUGAAUGCACUAAAAACAAAAGGGGCUGACUGGGUAGGCAUACCUUAAAUAAUUAAUCUAACAGUGAAUUCAUAGAGAGCCUGCCAUGUACUGUUCUAUUAUAAGACUAACAGUUAUAACAAUUAUACUUCAAUUACUCAAUUACUCAAAAGUAUGGGUAUCUGCAGACUACCAGCAGCAAUAAUGUGAUUUAUUUUCAUGUGAGACACAUCUUAUUACAGGGGAUAAUCACAGUGCUGUUAUUUCUAGUACAUCUCUAUUUCCUGUCUAACUCUUCUGCACCUCCAACAGCUGGGACCUUGCACAUUAUGAGUAUCAUUUGUUGGGAGGGCUGAUAAUCUGGAACAAAGGUGUAAAACACUCAUUCAGUGUAAGUGUAGAAAUAUUUGUGUCUUAGCUUUGUUUAAUAUUGUUAGUACAUCUCCUAACUAAGGUUAAGUACCUCAUAGCUGUGUUUGGAGCCAAUAAAGAUGGUACCCAUGUCAA